rnacentral:lncRNA from 1 species
UGCAGGCAUCAUAGAAGGAGGGCGCAAGGCAUCCAAAUUUGAGAUCCCCACACAUAAAGCAUUCUGAUUAUCUCUCAGAACCCACAUGUCCCCACUCCCCCACCUCAUAAGGCAGCAGCCAUGUUCACAUACCUCUGCAUCAUCGUAAUGCCACAGGAUCUCCACGUCCAGUUCAUUUUUAACAGAAAGGGCCCCUAGAGUAUAAAGGUUCUAAAACAGAAUUCAGAGACAAAGACAGAGGAAGAGUCCCUUGCAGACUGGUCCCCACCAGGUCGGUAAGCUCCUGAGCCACGCCAACCAGCACGCUGCAUGAUCUUGACUUAAGAGCCAACGCCAGGUUCCAAGUAUCUACCUUUGCCAUGUUCCCAACCAAGAGUCGCCACUGGGUGAAGCUCUCUGGAGAAAUGUGCCUUUGAUCAUCUAAUACAGAGCUUGGCAGACAAAUGUGUGGCCAUCCUUGAGUGUGGCUUGAGUGGAAGUUUUAAUAACUUGCAGAAGCCCUUAGCUGCUUCCUCUCAGAUAGUUCCCAGAGGAAGAGAAGUUCACAUCACAAAAGCUGCAUUUAGAGCAUUAAUUUGGAGGUCAGAUUGAAAGAGCAGGAGAACUUUACAGUUAAGGGUUAAGCCACCAUGAGAGGAAAUAAGACCCCUCCUUUUGGGAGCAUCUUCCCUGCAAAGGUCCAGUUCAGUUCUUAACCGGAUCUGACACCACUCAAGCUGGGACUUGCACAGAGGUGGCCAACGUGGAGGUGAGUUGCGUGACCUUCUCUCUCCUCAAAUGCCGAAAACUCUGUCCACACGCCACUGAUAACAGCAACAGAUAUGCAACCAAAUGAAAUAUGCCUCCUCUUGGCAGCUGCUACAGAACGACGCUGCAGAAAGGAAAGGUCUUUGUGUGAAAAUGUAUCAUUCUUGUAUAUCCAAAAUAAAUUCUCAUGUCAAGACCGCCCACUCGGGCAAAACAAGCCUCUCUGCCUCAUCCAGUUGCAUCAAGUGUGCUUCAAAGUUGAGAAAAUGUGAG